rnacentral:rRNA from 1 species
AAUAGAUACCCAGGUAGUCCUAGCCGUAAACGAUACUCGCUAGGUGUCGGCCACGGUGCGACCGUUGUCGGUGCCGUAGGGAAGCCGUGAAGCGAGCCACCUGGGAAGUACGGCCGCAAGGCUGAAACUUAAAGGAAUUGGCGGGGGAGCACCACAACGGGUGGAGCUUGCGGUUUAAUUGGAUUCAACGCCGGAAAUCUUACCGGGACCGACAGCAAUAUGAAGGCCAGGCUGAAGACUUUGCCGGAUUAGCUGAGAGGUGGUGCAUGGCCGUCGUCAGUUCGUACUGUGAAGCAUCCUGUUAAGUCAGGCAACGAGCGAGACCCACGCCCACAGUUGCCAGCGUACUCUCUGGAGUGACGGGUACACUGUGGGGACCGCCGCUGCUAAAGCGGAGGAAGGAAUGGGCAACGGUAGGUCAGUAUGCCCCGAAUAUCCCGGGCUACACGCGAGCUACAAUGGUUGGUACAAUGGGUAUCUACCCGAAAGGGGACGGGAAUCUCCUAAAACCAAUCUUAGUUCGGAUUGAGGGCUGCAACUCGCCCUCA